rnacentral:rRNA from 1 species
GACGAACGCUGGCGGCGUGCUUAACACAUGCAAGUCGAACGGAAAGGCCCUGCUUUUGUGGGGUGCUCGAGUGGCGAACGGGUGAGUAACACGUGAGUAACCUGCCCUUGACUUUGGGAUAACUUCAGGAAACUGGGGCUAAUACCGGAUAGGAGCUCCUGCUGCAUGGUGGGGGUUGGAAAGUUUCGGCGGUUGGGGAUGGACUCGCGGCUUAUCAGCUUGUUGGUGGGGUAGUGGCUUACCAAGGCUUUGACGGGUAGCCGGCCUGAGAGGGUGACCGGCCACAUUGGGACUGAGAUACGGCCCAGACUCCUACGGGAGGCAGCAGUGGGGAAUAUUGCACAAUGGGCGGAAGCCUGAUGCAGCAACGCCGCGUGCGGGAUGACGGCCUUCGGGUUGUAAACCGCUUUCGCCUGUGACGAAGCGUGAGUGACGGUAAUGGGUAAAGAAGCACCGGCUAACUACGUGCCAGCAGCCGCGGUGAUACGUAGGGUGCGAGCGUUGUCCGGAUUUAUUGGGCGUAAAGGGCUCGUAGGUGGUUGAUCGCGUCGGAAGUGUAAUCUUGGGGCUUAACCCUGAGCGUGCUUUCGAUACGGGUUGACUUGAGGAAGGUAGGGGAGAAUGGAAUUCCUGGUGGAGCGGUGGAAUGCGCAGAUAUCAGGAGGAACACCAGUGGCGAAGGCGGUUCUCUGGGCCUUUCCUGACGCUGAGGAGCGAAAGCGUGGGGAGCGAACAGGCUUAGAUACCCUGGUAGUCCACGCUGUAAACGGUGGGUACUAGGUGUGGGGUCCAUUCCACGGGUUCCGUGCCGUAGCUAACGCUUUAAGUACCCCGCCUGGGGAGUACGGCCGCAAGGCUAAAACUCAAAGGAAUUGACGGGGCCCCGCACAAGCGGCGGAGCAUGCGGAUUAAUUCGAUGCAACGCGUAGAACCUUACCUGGGUUUGACAUGGAUCGGGAGUGCUCAGAGAUGGGUGUGCCUCUUUUGGGGUCGGUUCACAGGUGGUGCAUGGCUGUCGUCAGCUCGUGUCGUGAGAUGUUGGGUUAAGUCCCGCAACGAGCGCAACCCUUGUUCACUGUUGCCAGCACGUUAUGGUGGGGACUCAGUGGAGACCGCCGGGGUCAACUCGGAGGAAGGUGGGGAUGACGUCAAGUCAUCAUGCCCCUUAUGUCCAGGGCUUCACGCAUGCUACAAUGGCUGGUACAGAGAGUGGCGAGCCUGUGAGGGUGAACGAAUCUCGGAAAGCCGGUCUCAGUUCGGAUUGGGGUCUGCAACUCGACCUCAUGAAGUCGGAGUCGCUAGUAAUCGCAGAUCAGCAACGCUGCGGUGAAUACGUUCCCGGG